rnacentral:rRNA from 1 species
UACGUAGGGUGCAGGCGUUAAUCGGAAUUACUGGGCGUAAAGCGUGCGCAGGCGGUUUUGUAAGUCUGUCGUGAAAUCCCCGGGCUUAACCUGGGAAUUGCGAUGGAGACUGCAAGGCUAGAAUCUGGCAGAGGGGGGUAGAAUUCCACGUGUAGCAGUGAAAUGCGUAGAGAUGUGGAGGAACACCGAUGGCGAAGGCAGCCCCCUGGGUCAAGAUUGACGCUCAUGCACGAAAGCGUGGGGAGCAAACAGG